rnacentral:rRNA from 1 species
GACGAACGCUGGCGGCGUGCCUAAUACAUGCAAGUUGAGCGCUGAAGGUUGGUACUUGUACCAACUGGAUGAGCAGCGAACGGGUGAGUAACGCGUGGGGAAUCUGCCUUUGAGCGGGGGACAACAUUUGGAAACGAAUGCUAAUACCGCAUAAAAACUUUAAACACAAGUUUUAAGUUUGAAAGAUGCAAUUGCAUCACUCAAAGAUGAUCCCGCGUUGUAUUAGCUAGUUGGUGAGGUAAAGGCUCACCAAGGCGAUGAUACAUAGCCGACCUGAGAGGGUGAUCGGCCACAUUGGGACUGAGACACGGCCCAAACUCCUACGGGAGGCAGCAGUAGGGAAUCUUCGGCAAUGGACGAAAGUCUGACCGAGCAACGCUGCGUGAGUGAAGAAGGUUUUCGGAUCGUAAAACUCUGUUGGUAGAGAAGAACGUUGGUGAGAGUGGAAAGCUCAUCAAGUGACGGUAACUACCCAGAAAGGGACGGCUAACUACGU